GGUCCUAGCUUGGCGGAUCCCCCCACUGCCUUCUCCCCACCGUGUCGAUUUGUGAGUCACUGACAUCACUUCCCCCCCAACAGUAACAAACGGCUGAGUUGUUGGGAGAGUCUACUGGAUGAGAGGAGAGGAGGGACGUUUGAGUCAAUCCCAUGGAAUCCAUGAUAUACUGUACUGGGCUUUGUGUUGGAAAGGGGAAAACCAGCUACAUCAUCCCUACUAGGCUUUUGUUUACUCCGGCCUGAAGAACACCUCCUUUGUUUUGCUUUUUAUCUUCUCUUCCUCUUCCUUUCAUCACCAUGGACUUUAGGUGUGAGCAGUUAAUGGGCCGAGGGCUGAAUCAUGGAGGCUGAAUCCAGUGGAAUCAUGCUGGUUGCUUUGAAGCUAAAAUAGCCAUGGGCAGAACCAGACUGACCGGAUCCUGCUCACAGUGACUGCGCAGUCUGUCCGUGAACCCUGAACUCUCACCCUUGACCCCAAUAGUACCUCAAAUGGCAUAAACUGCUGAUGUCACAGUUCACGGAUAAGCAGGAGGUUGCUGAGUUUAACGUUGGGGUGAGUAUGAGGGCAUGGUUAACAAGGAAUGCUCUUAAAAACCAGAGAUAAUCAAGUGCUCAAGAACAAUGCAAGAGUUGGCCGGUGGCAAAGCUACAGGGCUUUUGGCUGUCUGUCAUCAUCUGAAAGAGCAUCAGGUUCCACUCUCUGGCAGGGUGUAGCAAAACACAGGGGCAUGGAGAGCGUCCAAACACUCUUUCUCUCUCUCACAUGUAUCUAUGCAUGUGCACAGUGGCGGACUCAGGGUGUUUGAGGGGCAGGGGCGAAAAAUAAGUUCUGAUGCAUUUAUGGUGAAACAGCUUAGCCGGGGCUAGGAUUAGAUUUAUCUGGUUUUAUCCACUGAAAGGGCACUGUAGAGGGCACUUGAUUACGUUUUCUCCACUGGAAGGUCACCCUGGAUUGCACAUUAUCUUGUUUUGUCCACUGGAAGGGCACCCUAGUGGUCACAACCCCUACCCCCUCCCUGAGUCUACCAGUGUGCGUGCAUGCACACUUGAGGGUCAACAAAACACAAAUAAAAGUGUGAUUUAAGCCAAACAAACACAUACUAACCUGAAUAUAAGCACACACCUUGCCUCUGCUCUUCUCUGCAACAGCACCAAGCUUGUGACUCCUUGAGGAAAUUGUUGAGGGCACAGGAAACCCACAGCUAAACACAGGUUCUUAUGGCGUAUUAAUGACCCCUGACAGAGAGAGGAGCUUCAUAGUACCACAUCCAGAGCCGAUGCCAAGACCACGCCACGGCCAGCCAAGUGCAGGAGGUCGCUGGAGCCACGAGUUCAAAAAGUCUCCUGGGGAAGAUAAGAUCUACAUCCUCACCGGGUUCGCUCUGAGCCCAGACUCCAGUCCUUGAGCUACAUGUCAGAAGCAAAACAUCAACAGAGGCAGUUCUAUACAAGCAUGGUAAAAAGGAGAGUAAUAGUAAGGGGGCUAUGUGGUUGUACUACAACAUAACCAAAAUCAUGUGUGUGGUUUUAUGAAGUUAGAAAGCCCAUAAUGAUGGUGUAUUAAAUGAUUGUAGCGCCAUGAGGUUUGCUG